rnacentral:rRNA from 1 species
AGAGUUUGAUUCCUGGCUCAGAGCGAACGCUGGCGGCANNCUUAACACAUNCAANUCGAGCGGGCACCUUUCGGGGUGUCAGCGGCGGACGGGUGAGUAACGCGUGGGAACGUGCCCUCUGGUUCGGAAUAACUCAGGGAAACUUGAGCUAAUACCGGAUACGCCCUUUUGGGGAAAGGCUUGCUGCCGGAGGAUCGGCCCGCGUCUGAUUAGCUAGUUGGUGAGGUAACGGCUCACCAAGGCGACGAUCAGUAGCUGGUCUGAGAGGAUGAUCAGCCACACUGGGACUGAGACACGGCCCAGACUCCUACGGGAGGCAGCAGUGGGGAAUAUUGGACAAUGGGCGCAAGCCUGAUCCAGCCAUGCCGCGUGAGUGAUGAAGGCCUUAGGGUUGUAAAGCUCUUUUAUCCGGGACGAUAAUGACGGACCGGAGGAAUAAGCCCCGGCUAACUUCGUGCCAGCAGCCGCGGUAAUACGAAGGGGGCUAGCGUUGCUCGGAAUCACUGGGCGUAAAGGGCGCGUAGGCGGCGUUUUAAGUCGGGGGUGAAAGCCUGUGGCUCAACCACAGAAUGGCCUUCGAUACUGGGACGCUUGAGUAUGGUAGAGGUUGGUGGAACUGCGAGUGUAGAGGUGAAAUUCGUAGAUAUUCGCAAGAACACCGGUGGCGAAGGCGGCCAACUGGACCAUUACUGACGCUGAGGCGCGAAAGCGUGGGGAGCAAACAGGAUUAGAUACCCU